UAUUUAAAUAUGUAUUUUUUUAAAAAUACGAAUAUAGUUUUGUUAAAAAUCUUAUCGUAUUUAACAGUUUGAAGCCCUAAAGCCUAGGAUUUCUAGUAAGAAUUAAAGUGUCCAUCGAUACGUACCGUAUCUACCGUAUCGUAUCAUGCCAGCAAAAUUUCGAUACGAUACAGUUCCUGUAUUGAUGGCACAACUCAAAACCCUCUAUUUUUUAAAUUAGUAAGUAAUUUUUCAGUAAAGUUCGAAAGAUUUAAUAAAAAUAAAUAAUAAAUAAUUAAUAUAUUUUGUGCUUAAAGAAAAUAAAUAUUUCAUGUCAUUACGUGUCGGCACGUAUAUAUUUUUUAUGAUUGACAUUUAUCAAUAUAAUUUGACCUAGCGUAUCAUAUCAUGUUGAUAAAUUUUUAAUACAAUCUCGUGUCACUUGUCACGACACUUAAAUUCUUACUCUCU
rnacentral:lncRNA from 1 species